GCCGGGUGCGGUGGCGUGUACCUGUAGUCCCAGCUACUUGGGAGGCUGAGGCAGGAGAAUCGCAUGAGCCUGGGAAGUGGAGGUUGCAGUGAGCCGAGAUCGCGCCACUGCACUCCAACCUGGGUGACAGAGCGAGACUCUGUCUCCA
rfam:Homo sapiens chromosome 17, GRCh38 reference primary assembly.